AUGGACCUGGAGGAGACAUUGCCGAAGAUGGACGUGGUGGAGGAUUCGAGCAUCAAAGCGAAGGCCGCAAAAGAGGAAAAAUUCAGAAAGCAGAAGGCCAGCAGAGGGCGUGAUGGUGGCAGGCGAGGCGGUGGGCAUGCAGGUCGCGUACGUGGUGAAGGUCAGGGCGGCCCGGGCCGCGGGGCCCCGCGGACCAUGCAGGUGCCGCCAUGGCCGAAACAUUACAAGGCCCUGUACUUCUACGCCACCAAGCAGCUGGGUAGGCAGUCCCGGGCAUCCCCCGCCAUUGCCGUUCAUCGUCUAUGUCAAUGUGGCGCCGCUGCUUUUCUCUGA
rnacentral:rRNA from 1 species